AGGUUGCGAGAGCAAUCUGGCUGGGACACGAGUCACCUCUUUUGUCACUGGCUGGGGGGCAUCUAUCUGCUUCCUCCUGAAGCUUCAUGCUGGGUAGAAGAGACAAACCUCCCCCAACGGAGGAGGGCUUUUCCUCAGUCUGUGGUAUGUGGGAAGCUGUGCAUCCUGGCUAGAACCUCCAAACAAGCUCUCAGAGCUACCUGCACCUUAAAAUCAGGACUUUGGGUGACGCAAAGUCUUUAAGGCUCCAAAGAAGGUGAAGAAUUUGUAAUAGUAGAAACUCUAGAUUC
rnacentral:snRNA from 14 species